rnacentral:rRNA from 1 species
UACAGAGGUCUCAAGCGUUGUUCGGAUUCAUUGGGCGUAAAGGGGUGCGUAGGCGGCGCGGUAAGUCGGGUGUGAAAUCUUGGAGCUUAACUCCGAAACUGCAUUCGAUACUGCCGUGCUUUGAGGACUGGAGAGGAGACUGGAAUUUACGGUGUAGCGGUGAAAUGCGUAGAUAUCGUAAGGAAGACCGUGGCGAAGGCGGGUCUCUGGACAGUUCCUGACGCUGAGGCACGAAGGCCAGGGGAGCAAACGGG